AUUGAACGCUGGCGGCACGCCUAACACAUGCAAGUCGAGCGGCAGCAUGCUUAGUAGCAAUACUAAGUGAUGGCGAGCGGCGGACGGGUGAGGAACACGUAGGAACCUGCCCAAGAGAGGGGGAUAACUAAGGGAAACUUUAGCUAAUACCGCAUAAUCUCGAGAGGGAAAAGUUGCCCGUAAGGGUAGCGCUUUUGGAGGGGCCUGCGUCCGAUUAGUUAGUUGGUGAGGUAAUGGCUCACCAAGACGAUGAUCGGUAACUGGUCUGAGAGGACGACCAGUCACACUGGGACUGAGACACGGCCCAGACUCCUACGGGAGGCAGCAGUGGGGAAUCUUGGACAAUGGGGGCAACCCUGAUCCAGCGAUGCCGCGUGGGUGAGGAAGGCCUUCGGGUUGUAAAGCCCUUUAGGCUGGGAAGAAGUGUUUGGGGUGAAUAAUCCCGAACAUUGACGGUACCAGCAGAAUAAGCACCGGCAAACUCUGUGCCAGCAGCCGCAGUAA
rnacentral:rRNA from 1 species